AACAGUGUGAUAAUCGCGCGCUCGAUUCUUCUACCGUAUUCACUUCCGAGUGCAUAGAAUCACACGCUGACUAACCGCGGCCCGCUGACUUCUCGUGCCCUCGUCUUACUUUCUUUCGCGGGUAACACGCCGUUGUUGCGCAUAGGGUAGGAUUGCGCGACCGACCUGACGACCGUCAUAACCGAAGGAAUUCGCGUAUAUGCAUGUGAAAUUGGGUCGCGAUCGCGGCGAUUUUGUAAUUGGCCGGGGCGGGUGGGACGUGUUAUGCACUCGGCAAACACACUUGCCUCCGCAAAUACACGAAACUAGUCAAUCCUGUAUUCCCCUGAAUCGGGAACAGGCCGGAAUACAGGCGGGUUAUUGGUUUCUUUCGGGUUCAAAUCUCAACGACUCUACUCGGCGCUUCGUUCGACGAAUCGAUUGAAGAAAUUGAUUCUGCCUCAGAGGAAAAUAAAGUGACGCAAUCGGAAUCAGAACAACUCAUGUAUUGCAAUAAGAACAAUUUGUUCGUUAUAGUUUAAUACGUUGUAAACAGAGUACGAAAUAUUCUGUCAGCAUUUAAUCGGUCUUGGUGAGGAUCGAGGUCGUGGCACCGAACACCAUAAGCAAGGCCACACGGCAUCAUUUUCAAUGAAGCCGAACUUUUGGCUUGCACUUCUCCGAUAGUGGUUUGUUCAAUUUUUACGUUAGCCUAAGAAAAUGUAAGAAAUACUCAUUUUUACUCAUAUUUAUCAAAGAUUAUAUCUGUAGGUCAAAUUAAAUAAAGAAAUUUUUAACAAAA